rnacentral:rRNA from 1 species
GACGAACGCUGGCGGCGUGCUUAACACAUGCAAGUCGAACGGAAAGGCCCUGCUUGCCGGGUACUCGAGUGGCGAACGGGUGAGUAACACGUGGGUGAUCUGCCCUGCACUUCGGGAUAAGCCUGGGAAACUGGGUCUAAUACCGGAUAGGAGCCAUUUUUAGUGUGAUGGUUGGAAAGUUUUUUCGGUGUAGGAUGAGCUCGCGGCCUAUCAGCUUGUUGGUGGGGUAAUGGCCUACCAAGGCGGCGACGGGUAGCCGGCCUGAGAGGGUGGACGGCCACAUUGGGACUGAGAUACGGCCCAGACGCCGACGGGAGGCAUCAGUGGGGAAGAUUGCACAAUGGGCGCAAGCCUGAUGCAGCGACGCCGCGGGGGGGAUGACGGCCUUCGGGUUGUAAACUCCUUUCGCUAGGGACGAAGCUUUUUGUGACGGUACCUAGAGAAGAAGCACCGGCUAACUACGUG